rnacentral:lncRNA from 1 species
AUCAUAUCAAUAUAUUAAGUAUAAAAUUGUGUCCUAGAUUUAUUACAAUGUGUCAGCCAUAUUGACUUCUAGGACAUACAUCUAACAAUCUCCCACUCAGACUAAAGCCAAUUAACCACAAAUCUAAGUCCCAUCUUCUCAAAAUAGACUUUCAUUUUUGGUUAGCUCAACUAUUUUGUCAGCGGAUCUGCCACAUUGUCCACAGAGUCUACUCUUCGCACCUCGACACAUUUUUUUUCGAGAUAGUCACGUAUAAUAUAAUACCGCCGC